rnacentral:lncRNA from 1 species
GCCUGGGCUGCAGGCCCGUGAGCGGAGCCGGGCACCGUGGGCUCUGGAGUCUGGCGGAGCGUUCACCUGCGGCGGGUCCCAUUGCGUGGCCUCCAGUGGUGUCGCCAGCCUCGGUCCUGUCUUUGUGGCGCGGAAAGGAGAGAGGCCCCUCCACUGGAGCUUUCUCAGACUCAUCACCCCGGCCUGAACCGGCACCUCGUGAGAAUAGACCCAGCGAGGUUAAAAUGGCCGCCCUUUACGCGGGAGGCUGGAAGACCCUGGUGGACAGAUCUGGAGUCGAUUUAUUAUGUGUCAAGGAUUUCAGCUUACUUCUCCAUCUUCUUAAAAGAUGCUGUAAUUGACUCAAAUAUGGUGAUGAAAGUAGUAAGUAAAGCACUUUCCUGACUUCUGUGAGUCAUUCUAGCAAAUUAUUGAACAAAAGAGGGGGUGGUGGGAAGCCCUGAUUUAUAGAAGAUUUGACAUUCAGGCCACCACUUGGG